AGCUGGCCUCUGAUCAGAAAUGCAGCAGCAAUUAUAUUUUAUGAAUUACUGCUGCAUUUCUGAUCAGAGGCCAGCUG